rnacentral:tRNA from 1 species
UGGGCCUAUAGCUUAGUCAGGAAUAGCGACGGACUCUUAAUCCGUAGGUCAGGGGUUCAAAUCCCUUUAGGCCCGU